UUCGACGCUGUAAGCUGGGUGACAGAACGGACUCCGACGGGAGUCCAAGGCCCGGGGUUUUUCAGGAGGAGAACUGAAGAGGAAGGACGUGCUGGAUGCAUUCUGGUCGACCACAGUGGUUGGUCCCAGGUGGUCGGAGGGGAUCGAAUGGUGGAACAAAGACUCCGUUAAUUGAGUUCCAACUGUUGUGCACGAAGUGGUUGAACUUUGAUAAUUUUCAGAAAACGUCCAUUCGGUGUUGAUUCCAACCAUUUGCCCUUGAGAACUCUGGAGGAUGGGACGUGCUGACAGCAGAAGGUUAUCAUCUCAUGGUAAAAGGUUCAGCCUGUGGCCGCACAUUCACGUUAAACAUCCUCUCGGCUUUAGGUGGCUGGGGUUCUGUCGAAGACCCUGACCAAGAGCUACACUCAAACUUUGGUUCUUUGCAGCAAUUUUUCAAUAUGCCAAGAACGUGGCCUAGAAGACGAGCAUGCCUUCGGGGUUCGGAGGCUUUGUGAGUCUGGGGACAAGCCAAUUCUAUCCCGGUGCUGCCAACUGAAGCAUCACGGGAGAAAACGGAAUAACGGAAACAGCGGAUCGGUUGUUGGGGCUCUGUACGCGGCAAAUCGCACUCUCGCUUUCUGCCGAUGGAAGGGGAGAGUUUGUUCCCGAUUCUGAAGUCAGAGAACUUGGAAAAAAGUGACACAGCAGACUUUAACACCACAAAUGAGCAAGUUGUUUUGUUUAUGUCUCCCCUCUUGCUGUGAAAGGGUGGCACCUCUCUGUCCCUUUGUUGGGGGGAGAGAGAGAGCCUGUGCUAUGUCGAAUUGUUGGGUGAAUGAUUGGCUUUUGUUUGUACUGCAGAUCAUGGUCUUUCUUGGGGGCUUUGCGCUGGCUUGCUUGGUGGGUGGAGUAAGCA